rnacentral:rRNA from 1 species
AUUGAACGCUGGCGGCAUGCUUUACACAUGCAAGUCGAACGGUAACAGGGAGCUUGCUCCGCUGACGAGUGGCGAACGGGUGAGUAAUGUAUCGGAACGUACCCAAGAGUGGGGGAUAACGUAGCGAAAGUUACGCUAAUACCGCAUACGAUCCAAGGAUGAAAGCAGGGGACCUUCGGGCCUUGUGCUCCUGGAGCGGCCGAUAUCUGAUUAGCUAGUUGGUGAGGUAAAGGCUCACCAAGGCGACGAUCAGUAGCUGGUCUGAGAGGACGACCAGCCACACUGGGACUGAGACACGGCCCAGACUCCUACGGGAGGCAGCGGUGGGGAAUUUUGGACAAUGGGGGCAACCCUGAUCCAGCAAUGCCGCGUGAGUGAAGAAGGCCUUCGGGUUGUAAAGCACUUUCAAUGGGGAAGAAAAGCGUAGCGUUAAUAGCGUUGCGCCGUGACGUUACCCAUAGAAGAAGCACCGGCUAACUCCGUGCCAGCCGCCGCUGUAAUAC